rnacentral:lncRNA from 1 species
AUUUGGUGAAACCCUGCUUCUACUAAAAAUACAAAAGUUAGCCGGGCGUGGUGGUGCGCGCCUGUAAUCCCAGCUACUCAGGAGGCUGAGGCAGGAGAAUCGCUUGAACCCGGGAGGUGGAGAUUGCAGUGAGCCGAGAUUGUGCCACUACACUCCAGCCUGGGCGACACAGCAAGACUCUGUCUCAAAAGAAAAAAAAGAAAAAAAGAAAAGAAAAAAGAAAAACAAAAAAGGGGUACGUAAAUUUGGCAUAAACCUGGAAACUCAAUACUGUUAAAUUGGACCAAAACUCCUAAUGAAUUUACUUAUUUCAACCACUUUAUUCAAAUAUACAUAUCCUACACAAUACACCCAGUUAAAGUGCAUAAUUCAUAGGUAUAGUAUAUUCACAGAUACAUGCAAUCAUCACCACAGUGGAUUUGCAUCACCUCAAAGAGAAACCCCUGUACCCUUUAGGUAUCCACUCCCCCAAUCCUCCCAUUUUUUUUACUCAACACCCAGCCCUAGGCAGUCAGCAAUUGACUUUCUUUCUCAGCAGAUUUCUCUGCUCUGGACUUUCAUGUGAAUGAAAUCAUACCAUACGGGGAAUUUUUAACUGGGUUUCAUUUACUAUAGUUUUUUGAAGGGAUAUCCAUGUUGUAGUAUGGUCCUGUACAUCAUUUAGAUUUAUGAUGGAAUUAUUAAUAUUUUCCAUUGUCUGGCUAUUACAUAUUUUAUCCAUGCAUUCAAUGAUGGAUUAUUUGGUUUCCACCUUUUGGCUGUCAUGAAUAACACUGCUAUAAACAUUCAUGCCCAAGGUCUUGUGUGGACAUAUGUUUCUAUUUAUUUCUACCUACAACAAAAACUGAUGUCACAUGGAAAUUCUGUUUAGUAGUUUCUUUUAAAUUUAAAAGGUUUGAAGAUUUAUUAUUUUUUUCUUGUGGCAAAAACUCUUAAGAUUAAAUAUAACGGCUGGGCAUGGUGGCUCACGUCUAUCCCAGCACUUUGGGAGGCUGAGAUUACAGGCGUCAGCCACCAUGCCCGACCUCAUUAUGCUUUUAAUUUGCACUUCUCUUAUGAUCUCUGAUGGUGAGUGUGUGUGUACAGAUAUUUCAAUGGCAUCCUUUUGUAUUUUGCAAAAACAGGGAGUAUAUAUAUACUAUUUUUGCAAAAUAGCAGUUGAAAUUUUGGUGCAGAUUGUAUUAAAUCUGUAGACCACUUUGGGUAGUGGAGACAUCUUAACAAUAUUAAGUCAUCUGGGCUGGAUGCAGUGGCUCACGCCUGUAAUCCCAGCACUUUGGGAGGCCAAGGCCAGUAGAUCACUUGAGGCCAGUUUGAGACUAGCCUGGCCAACAUGGCAAAACCCUGUCUCUAUUAAAAAUACAAAAAUUAGCCAGAUGUGGUGGUGCAUGCCUGUAAUCCCAGCUACUCAGGAGGCUGAGGCAGGAGAAUUGGUUGAACCCAGGAGGCUGAGGUUGCAGUGAGCCGAGAUCGUGCCACUGCACUCUAGCCUGGGAGACACAGUGAGACUGUCUCAAAAAACAAAAAAACAAUAUAAAGUCAUCUGAUCUAUGAGCAUGGAAUUCUCUGAGAAUACAGAAAAACACAAUAGUUCUUUUUCUUAUUCUCAAACAAUAACAUGCAACACUUCUGCGACCAGAUGUGGGGGCUCUUUCCACACACACCAAGCAAGCAAGUCUGCAGAGCAUUCCUCUCCAGCAGACACCAGGAGGCUGCCCCCUAACUGAACUAAAUUCUGAUGCUACUUGGAGAUAGCAUCAGAUUCCACAGGUUCAGGUCCCAGUGCCAUAAGACUGCCCUCACCUCACGUGCCAGUUAAUUAAUUAAUUAAUUUUUUUGAGAUGGAGUCUUGCUCUGUCACCAGGCUGGAGUGCAGUGGUGCGAUCUUGGCUCACUGCAACCUCCACCUCCCACGUUCAAGCCAUUCUCCUGCCUCAGCCUCCCGAGUGGCUGAGACUACAGGUGCCUGCCACCACGCCUGGCUAAUUUUUGUAUUUUUAGUAGGGUCAGGGUUUCACUGUGUUGGCCAGGAUGGUCUCGAUCUCUUGACCUUCUGAUACACCUGCCUCGGCUGCCCAAAGUGCUGGGAUUACAGGCGUGAGCCACCGCGCCCAGCCUGGAAUUCUUAACAGGACCAUUAGGAUUAAAUAAAUUUUACUGGGGGUCUGAAGAAAUGAUGUAAUCAAGCGCCCGGCUUGAUUACAUCAUUGGAUAUUGGUGAUAGACUUAAACUUCAGCACCUCUCUCCUCCAGGUGAGGCAGGGAACUUAAGGCCAAUUUGUGCUGACUUCCUAAAGCUGGGUCAAAGGAAAACACCAAGGUCUUGGGGCAGAGAAUCUAAGGCCAAUUAACGCCAACUGCCUAAAGCUAAACCAAAAGAAAAAACCCCAUCUCCCCAAGCCUGGAGCAGCAAAGGAUGGAAGGCUACUUUCCCUCCAGCCCUCCCACUUCCACCAACAUCUCAGAUGGAAAGUGCCCUGGAUUGGCUGCGGGCCAAGCAUGGCCCAUCCCUUCAUCUUCAGAGGGCACCAAUUCACCUCAGCCUUUAAUUAGCCACCAGCCAAAUCCUUCAUCCAGAUAAGGGGUAACUGAUGGGGACCUUGAAAGGAGUACUUAAAACCCAGAAAACUUUGUAACUGGUCCCUUGAGCUGCUUGCUCGGGCUCACUUCCACCCUGUAAUGUGCUUUCUCCCUUUAAUAAAUCCUUGCAUUUGCGGCUUCGGUCCUGGGUUUCGUUCCUUUGUGUGUUUUCUUCAGUUCUUUGUUCAAAAACUCCAAGGACCUGGACAACUCACACUCAUGGCCUUCCUUCCAGUAACACAGGGGAGUCAGGGGUGAAGCAGAGUAUCCUAACCAUCUAAUCACAUGGUUGUUUCCCCUGGCAACCACCCCAUCCUGAGGCUAUGCACGGCCCGCAGUCACUAGUCACCUCAACAUCACUUUGAUUCCAAGGCUUUUAGGAGCUGUAGGCCAAGGAAACAGGAACAAACCAAAAUAAAUAUUUCAUAAUAUCACAGAUGUCUUUCUAGGUAUUUGUAUCUUUCUUUCUUUUUUUUUUUUUUGAGAUGGAGUUUCCCUCUUGUCGUCCAGGCUGGAGUGCAGUGGUGUGGUCUUGUCUCACUGCAACCUCUUCCUCCUGGGUUGAAGUGAUUCUCCUGCCUCAGCCUCCUGAGUAGCUGGGACUACAUGCACGCACCACCACGCCCGGCUGAUUUUUGUAUUUUUGGUAGAGACGGGGUUUCACCAUUAUUGGCCAGGCUGGUCUCAAACUCCUGACCUCAGGUGAUCCACCUGCCUCGGCCUCCCAAAGUGCUGAGAUUACAGGUGUGAGCCACUGCGCCCAGCCUCUUUAGUUUCUUUUAGCAAUGCUUUGUAGCUUUCAGUGUAGAAGUCUUUUAUUUUCUUGGUUACAUUUAUUCUCAAGUAUUUGUUUUUGUGCCAUUGUAAAUGGGAUUGUUUUCUUAAUUUUCUUUUCUGCCUGGUCACCACUAGUGUGUAGAAACACAAUUCAUUAUUAUUUUUCUUGCUGAUUUUGUUUUUUUCGCCUUUGCUGAAAUCCCAUAGAGUCAGCCCUCCAUAUUCCUGGGUUCUGCAUCUAUGGAUUCAACCAGCUACGAAUUGAAAAUAUUCAGAAAAAAAUUGGAUGGCUGUGUCUGUAAUGAAUAUGUGCUUUUUUCCCCCUUAUUAUCUCCUAAAUGACUUAUUAUAAAAACUAUUUACACAGCAGUUGCAUUGUAUUAGGUAUUAUAAAUAACCUACAGAUGAUUUAAAGUAUAUAGGAAGAUGAGUGUAGGUUAUGAGAAAAGAACUUUUAUCUGAAGAAUGUGAGACUGUGGCAGGCCAGGUCUCACUAACGCAGGCCUCCAUAACAACUGUUUCAGUACUGACUGAGUGGUUAAGUUAAAUAUUAAAAGCCAGCGCCCUUACAUAAGGGCUGGGAUGUAACAAAAGCCCACCAAAAAGUUUCUCCUAGGCCUGCCUUUCUUGGGCUUUAAUGCAUGACAACAAUAAUGAAGGAAUUUUUUUUUUUGAGAUGGAGUCUCACUCUGUUGCCCAGCUGCGAUCUCGGCUCACUGCAACCUCUGCCUCCCAGGUUCAAGCAAUUCUCCCGCCUCAGCCUCCUGAGUAGCUGAGACUACAGGUGCCCGCCACCCCACCCGGCUAAUUUUUUGUAUUUUUAGUAGAGAUGGGGUUUCACCGUGUUAGCCAGGAUAGUCUCGAUCUCCUGACCUCGUGAUCCGCCCGCCUCGGCCUCCCAAAGUGCUGAGAUUACAGGGGUUAGCCACCAUGCCUGGCCAAGAAGUUGUUUUAUCUUGUUUACUGCUGAAGGUGUCAGGGUAAGGGGGGCCCAGGUGGGCUGAAGUUUCCUCUUGCUCACAGCGCAGACAGUUGCCCGGACUAAGGAAGCCGACAUCUUUGCUGUCCUGGCGCUCCGGUACCUCCAGCCAGAGCUCGGCCGCCUCAGCCUCUCUCCAUGGACAUGGCGGGCGCAUCCAGUUCAAAGAAUUUUUAAAUUUCCAUCUUGAUUUCAUCCAACGCUCAUCCAGAAACAGGUUGAUCUUUAAUUUUUAAUUUAAUUUCCAUGUAUUUAAUUUCUAAAAUUUAUUUAAUUUCCAUGUAUUUGCAUGGUUUUGAUGGUUCAUUUGGAGUUGAUUUUCACUUUUAUUCCACUGUAGUCUGAGAAAAUAGUUGAUAUAAUUUUGAUUGUCUUAAAUUUAUUGAGACUUGUGGCCUAUCAUAUGUCUAUCUUGGAAAAUGUUUCAAGUGCUGAUGAAUAAAAUGUAUAUUCUGCAGUUCUUAGGUAGAAUUUCUGUAAAUAUUUUUUAACUCCAUUUGUUCUAGGAUAUAGUUCUAAGUCCAUUUUUUGUUGUUGUUGUUGUUAUUAUUGACUUUCUGUCCUGAUGACUUGUCUAUUGCUGUCAGUAGAGUAUUGAAGUCCCUCAUUAUUAUUGUGUUGUCAUCUAUUUCAUUUCUUAGGUCUAGUAGUAAUUAUUUUAUAAAUUUGGGAGCUCCAGUGUUAGGUGCAUGUAUAUUUAGGAUUGUGAUAUUUCCCUGUUGGACUAGUCCUCUUAUCAUUAUAUAAUGUCCCUCGUUGUCUUUUUUUUUUUUUAACUGUUUUUGUUUUAAAGUCUGUUUUGUCUGAUGUAAGAAUGGCUACUACUGCUAGCUUUUGGGGUACAUUUGCAUGGAAUACCUUUUUCCAACCCUUUGCCUUAAGUUUAAGUGAGUCCUUAUGUGUUGGGUGAGUCUCUUGAAGACAGCAGAUAUUUGGCUUGUAAAAUCUUUUUUUUGAGUUGGAGUUUAGUUCUAGUCCAGGUUGGAGUGCAAUGGCGUGAUCUCCGCUCACUGCAACCUCCGCCUCCCGGGUUCAAGCGAUUCUGUUACCUCAGCCUCCUGAGUAGCUGGGAUUACAGGCAUUCACCACCAUGUCUGGCUAAUUUUUUUGUAUUUUUAGUAGAGACAGGGUUUCCCCAUGUUGGUCAGGCCGGUCUCAAACUCCCAACCUCAGGUGAUCCGCCCACCUCAGCCUCCCAAAGUGCUGGGAUUACAGGCAUGAGCCACUGCACCUGGUCUGGUAAACUCUUAUCCAUUCUGCCAUUUUGUGUCUUUUAAGUGGAGCAUUUAGGCCACUAGAUUAGUAGCAUUUAGGCCAAUAAUCACUAUCAAUUACACCACCAUACAUUACAAUGCCUGUCAUUGAAAGGCUUGAACACGUUGUAAUCCAUUCAUCUGUAUUCAAGUUUGCAGUUAUGGUGGAAACUUUGGCCUAUUGAUCAUCCUGCUGAUUAAAUAGUCUGUCAAGAGAAAGCAGAGAUGCAUGAGCAUCAACAUGGAAAACAGUGAUAAUGGUAGUGUGUGCCAGGAUUCAGAUAUCUUCCCAGUAUUGUUUUCCCCAAACCUCUUUAUUCCCAACUAACCAUUUGUUUUGUUACCACUGGGGUUUCCAGGUAGUAAGACCAUUUGCUACUGACCAAGAGUUGGUAUACAAGUGACAAAUCCUUCUGGCCUCCUCUUGAAUAGCUCGGAGGAUGGCUACUAGUUCAGCUAACUGGCUGUUCCCACCCCUUUCUUCAUCAGAAAUGUUUAUGUUUUUAACAGGAUUAUAAGCCAUGGCCUUCUAGUAUCUGGUCCCACCAAUGUAUUUGGUGGAUCCAUCCAUAAACCAAGCAUGUUUCUGAUCCUCUGGGCAUAGUUCUUUGAAGGAUCUGCCCCAUUGGGCAGGGGAGGUUUCCUUCCCUAUCUGCAGGACUUGCUCGGUGAUUUCCUGAGCUGGGAAGUUUCGUACAUCCUCAUGUAAAAGUGAUACCCUCUUUGGUUUUGGUUUAGAUGGGGGACUUGUAUAUCACAAGUAGCUGUAAAUUAACCGCUAAUGCUGCACCAGACACUAUAACCCAUGUCCUAUAGCUUAACAAUGGAUAGCCAAUUACUAAUCAAUGUCAUUUCUGUAAGCCAAUGAGAAUUCCUGACGACUUUAUACCAGCCACUCCCUGUACCCCAUUUUGCCUUUAAAAACCUGCUUGUGGCCAGGUGUGGUGGCUCAUGCCUGUAAU